rnacentral:rRNA from 1 species
UACAGAGGUGGCAAGCGUUGUUCGGAAUUACUGGGCGUAAAGGGCGCGUAGGCGGUUCGUUAAGUCCUGUGUGAAAUCCCCCGGCUCAACUGGGGAACUGCACAGGAAACUAGCGGGCUUGAGUUCGGGAGAGGGAAGCGGAAUUCCGGGUGUAGCGGUGGAAAUGCGUAGAUAUCCGGAGGAACACCGGUGGCGAAGGCGGCUCCUGGACCGACACUGACGCUGAGGCGCGAAAGCUAGGGGAGCAAACGGGAUAGAAACCCCUG